CGUCGCGGACGCCACGUUCCCCCUCCGUUGGUCGGCGGCGCAA
rnacentral:misc_RNA from 1 species